UGAGACCCUGGACUGACGUCAAGAUCAAAUGGUGUGACGUCAUAGAAACCGCAAGAUGCCCACGGUCGAGCAGAGAACCACCCGUGAGGAAGUGAGGAAUGCCAACAGGAGGCGGAAGAACUGCAAUCAACUGCAUUCCCUGGCACAACAACUGCCCUGUGUACCAAUCAACGCGUCUGGAGGGCUAAGAGCUGCCAGCCAUUGCUGUGACCGGGUCCCUCAUCCUCUGACUGUAUAUGAAGACGCUCAGUCCCCACAAGCCGUAACCAGCCCUCGACCCUGAACCUCCUGCCCUGCCUUCCCUACCAGUCCCAGGAUCUCUCAUCUCCCCUUCCCUGUGUCUUCGUGUCCCAUGCCUGCCCGUAGGACUGACCACCCCGGCUGCUGACCUCCUUUUCCGACCACGACCAUCCCAGCCAUCUCGCCCCUUGAAAGUCCGUUGCCUG